CGAGUUAGGGUCCUCAUCGGGCCCGACCUCCCAACCCAUUGUUUAUGAUACCUAGUGUUGCUUCGGUAGGCCUGGUCUAUCAGUUAUAGACCUGCCGGGGGGCCGUAAGACGCCCGCCGGAGAGUGCCUACCGACAGCCUCAACUCCAAAAUUCUUUAACCAAACGUGUCUUUGUCUGAGUAACGUCUUUUAAAAUAAAGCAAAACUUUCAACAACGGAUCUCUUGGUUCUGGCAUCGA
rnacentral:misc_RNA from 1 species